rnacentral:rRNA from 1 species
GCCCAAUCCAAUCGCCCAUACUCCACAACCCUCCCUCCCUCCUCGAUCUCUCUCCCUCAGCCACCACAAACCCUAGGUCCUCCCCUUCUGCCUUGCUCUCCACCGCGCCGCCUCCUCCUCCCCUUCACCAUUCCCUCCAGCGGCAGGAACAGGGAGACAACGGCGGCGCUCGAUUUGAUCCGCCCCGCUCCCCUCCCUCUCCACUGCGCCUCGGCCUCGGCCGCCCCGUGCUCUGCCGGCGCCCGUCGGCCUCGAUCCGGCCUCGGCAGGAGGAGCUCACCCUCGAGACAGGAGGAGGGGCGCAGCAGGAUACAGGAGCAUGGCCUUCUUCUCGCGCUGCAGCAGCCGGCCUUGUCCUGCUCGAGGAGGAGGAGCAGCAGGAGGGGCGCACCCAUCCACAAAGGUAGCCAUCGUCGAGGGCUUCUUACACCUGAACCUCGAUCUCCAUGGUGCUGGCGUCCAGCAACUUGAGUUCAAGGGAAGGAGAGGAGGAUGACGCCCAGACAUGGAGAGGAACAGCAGCAGCUCAAGAAAAAUGAAGCAAGACAAGCUGGAGAAGCUCGCACGGACAUCCAAUUUCUUGUACCACUCAACUGAGCCGAGUUACUUGUGGAGACUAUAAGAAGAAUUUUUAGGAAGAGUUUGAUCAACAAGAUCAAGGCUGACACCCAUAGUUGUUUGGCAUCAAAUGCAGAAGAUACACAUCCUAAGAUUGAAGCAAUGCUACCUGAACCAAAGGGUUGUACGCCCACCAUUAUUAAUAUUCCAUACUAUUCGUGUUCUUCAGAUCCCAAUAAUUUAUCCGGUCUUGCUUUUGACAUAAAACACAAGUACAGGCAAAGAGAAGACGAGGUCGAACCCCAACACGGGAAGGUAUCUUGGCACCAAACCAUCAUGAGGAGAAGGGGAUGUGUUGAUGUACAUGAGAUAAGCAGCCCUGUUCAGAAGUGCUUUAUAGAGGUCAUGUAAGCUUUCUAGACAUACAUGUUGUUUCCAGUCUCUCUCGGCUUCCCCAAUCCUAGAGAUUAAAGGCGGCCAAGGCCAAUGAGUACGAGGUCACAGAGUACAAGGGUGACGUGAUGAACCCCUCCGCGGAGGAGUUCAUGCCGCUCUCCCGCCGCCUGUCGGCCGACGCGCCCGUCUACAUCCCGCCCGCGAUCGACUACUAUGCUCCUCCGUCCACCGACUCUGUCCGUGCAGGUCGCCAGUUUCCUUCCGCCCCAACCUUCUCCAUUGUCUCCCCAACUGGUACAUGUGUGAUCUUCAUGGAGCUAGCCAUCAUUGGAUUUGGUAAUACAUAAUCACUUAUUCAGAGAGCCCAAGGUGAGAAGGGACGAGCAUCUAGAACACCACCACCUACUAAUCAGUGAGCUACUAUCUGUCUUUGAAUGAGUUACUUAACAAGAGAAGGAGUUUCCUACCUUUCUUAUGCAAAUCUGGAAUUCCUUUAUGGCAUGAUCAUGUGAAAAAAGUACCUUGAUGCAGUAAUGGAUUUGAUUAUCACUGGUUACUCUGUUUUCACGAAUUACUACCCAACUGUAUGUAGAUAGCCGACAAUGUUAUUGUUCAAAUGUACUCGAGCCAGGUUUUCGGUGUUUCAUUGCAACCAAAAGAAUUGGUAAUAUUGUUUUGAUGAAAACAUGGUCACACUUGUCGAUGUUGUAGUGGCAUAGGAAUUUUUCCCUAAGAUCCACUAUGCAACCAAUCAAGAGAUCCACUCUGAUUGAGGAGGUUGGGGAGAGUCUAGUGCUGGAAGGAAUCCCGUCACAUGGCACCAGGCGGACAGUAGUCGAGGUGGCGCUGCAGGAGGCCAUAGGUGUGAGCGCCAAAGGGUGGAUCUGCGGCGCGGCUAAAGCGGUAGUGAGAAGGGGCAGCUCGCCUCCCACUCCUAAGCUGUCGACGGGGAAGAUGAAUCCGCAGGGUCCUGGUUGGAACAAGAGAUUGAGGAUUGGAGCCUCUGCCCCAAGCUUGACACCUUGCCCACCCCGCAUAAGCGCUUUUGAGAAGGCGGUGAGGGUGUUCAUAAAAAACCCAACUGAAGAUGAGCCGUGGAUCAUAAUUUAGAGAGUCAAUUCCCUGGUACCAAAAACUGUAUGGAGUUUGCGCUGAAGAUGCAGACUGGAAGUGUACUACACUCUGAAUUACACUGGGUGUGUCCAAAAAAAUACACCUGCAGCAUACAUUAUUGAUUCUUGGUGGUACCUUGUGCAUUGGAAAGUUGUAUUUUAGCAACAAAUUCGUAUGGUAAAAAUGUCUUGCCUUGUGCAAUGCAGCCCAUGUUGUGGGAUGGUUGAUUCGAACAAUAGUAUUUUGAGCAAUUAGUGUCAUGCAGGUGAAAUGACUAAAGUCAGCUUGCCAUACAGCAAGGAUAACCUGAUUACAUGGCUGCUGUGGAUUAUGGAUUUAGUUCCAUAUGAAAUGACAAAUUGGAGAUUUGAUUUGAAAUUACUUGUACAGUGUGAGUGGUAUGCAAAAUCAGAAUUUGGUCUGCACUCUGUAGUACACAUGAAUGAUUUGUGGCGGCCUUGCUAACUGAGAAGUUCGGGCAAACAAAAUUGCAAACGAAAACAUUAUGUACUCUAGAAGAAAACAAUGAUGAUAGGAACCGCAGAGAAUCAAUUUUGCUGCUUACGAUGGCUUUAGAAUAAUUACUCAGACCAGGUUAAUAAUAAUAUGAA